GCAGUUUUUACACUGUGAAAUUGGAUGUAACUUCUGUUCUUCUCUUGUGCAUUUGGAGACAUCUUGGUAUGUGCUAGUAUAUCUGCAUCAAGCAAGAAAAAUGGGAGCACUGGGGAUAUUUUCGGCCUUCAUGUUUGAAUAAGAAGUCAGAUGAAUUGCCAGGCAUAUGUAUGUGGAUUAUGGAUACAGAAGAAAAUUCCCAUUGUAUAAAGAAGAAUAUAUGCUGAGCACUGAAGCAGAGAAAAUGAAAGGUGUUUCUACCAAAUGAAAUAAAUAAAGUAACCAUACACCUCUAAGAAACUUGUAGGUGUUUGAGACCUUGUGAUAAAGCUACCACGUUAAGAUGCUAUAAAACGUCAGUGUUACAGAAACAAAAGUUUGAAAUCUGUAACAUCCCACACAUGAAAGGAGGAA
rnacentral:lncRNA from 1 species